rnacentral:rRNA from 1 species
AGCAGUAGCCACGGGAAUACGGAGGGUGCGAGCGUUAAUCGGAAUUACUGGGCGUAAAGCGUACGCAGGCGGUUUGUUAAGUCAGAUGUGAAAUCCCCGAGCUUAACUCGGGAACUGCAUUUGAAACUGGCAGGCUAGAGUCUCGUAGAGGGGGGUAGAAUUCCAGGUGUAGCGGUGAAAUGCGUAGAGAUCUGGAGGAAUACCGGUGGCGAAGGCGGCCCCCUGGACGAAGACUGACGCUCAGGUACGAAAGCGUGGGGAGCAAACAGGAUUAGAUACCCGAGUAGUCCCUGUCUCUUAUAC